AUGAGGAUGUGGACAGUUUGGUGUGUGGCCAUGUACUUCUUUGGAGCAAGAGCUAAAGUCACCCAACCCUCAAGUCUUUUGCUGAAAGAAGAUGAAAGAGCUACUCUGACAUGCAGUCAAAAUAAUAAUCACAAUUCUAUGUACUGGUAUCUGCAGCAGCCAGGGAAGGGGCUGCAACUGAUCUAUUAUUCCAUCGCUGUAAAUCAGCAAAAAGAGGGUGACAUUCACAUUGGAUACAAAGCUAACCGACCAAAUACUGAAGAGUUCAAUUUGGUUAUUUUAUCUGUGAAGAUGAACAAUUCAGCCACCUAUUUCUGUGCCAGCAGUGUAGACACAACUCUUCAAAGUCAUUUGCUUUCUUUACAUUAA